UCGCCCUACGGGGGGCAGCAGUGGGGGAUAUUGCACAAUGGGGGAAACCCUGAUGCAGUGACGCCGCGUGAGUGAAGAAGUAAUUCGUUAUGUAAAGCUCUAUCAGCAGGGAAGAAACAGACGGUACCUGAGUAAGAAGCCCCGGCUAACUACGUGCCAGCAGCCGCGGUAAUACGUAGGGGGCAAGCGUUAUCCGGAUUUACUGGGGGUAAAGGGGGCGUAGACGGCGAAGAAAGUCUGAAGUGAAAGCCCGCGGCUUAACCGCGGAACUGCUUUGGAAACUUUUUUGCUGGAGUACCGGAGAG
rnacentral:rRNA from 1 species